rnacentral:rRNA from 1 species
UACGUAGGUGGCAAGCGUUGUCCGGAAUUAUUGGGCGUAAAGGGUUCGUAGGCGGUGCGGCAAGUCGGGAGUGAAAUCUCUGGGCUCAACCCAGAGGCUGCUUCCGAAACUGCUGUGCUUGAGUGUGGGAGAGGCGCGUGGAAUUGCAGGUGUAGCGGUGAAAUGCGUAGAUAUCUGCAGGAACACCCGUGGCGAAAGCGGCGCGCUGGACCACUACUGACGCUGAAGAACGAAAGCUAGGGGAGCAAACAGG